GUAUAGAGGGCGUAAUAGCGUCACACAUCAAGAGCGUGCUCAGUGUUCAGUCAAAAAGAAGAAGAAGAAAUGCUCAGUGUUUGCGGAAGUAAACGUGAAUGCUAAUAGUGGAGCAUAUCUUACGAUUUUGAAGUUGUUGUCCGUCCGGAUCCAGCACAUUAACAACUUAAUCCUCGUCACAUUCCGCCAUUGUUGUUGUUUUUCCUUCCCGCUUACACGUAUUUGGACGCAGAAUAGUGACGUUUGUCGAGGAUCAAUGACGUUCAGGGAUGAACGGGAUGAAUGCGACCUGGCGAUUGAGACUCAGGGCACUUUUGAACAGAUUAGAUACGCAUCGGAUUUCAUCUGUCUCGGCCUCUGAUCACGUCUACAUGUCAUGGCACGUAAAGGACAUUAGAUAAACCUAACAUGUACAGCGAUGAGAGGAAGGCAGGGAGGACGAAACCAGAAAAUGUGACGACUGUGAGGAAGUCCAACAGUACGAUUUUGCUGAUGAAGAAAUUAAAUACAGAAAACUUA